rnacentral:rRNA from 1 species
AUUGAACGCUGGCGGCAUGCCUUACACAUGCAAGUCGAACGGUAACGCGGGGCAACCUGGCGACGAGUGGCGAACGGGUGAGUAAUGUAUCGGAACGUGCCCAGUUGUGGGGGAUAACUGCUCGAAAGAGCAGCUAAUACCGCAUACGACCUGAGGGUGAAAGCGGGGGAUCGCAAGACCUCGCGCAAUUGGAGCGGCCGAUAUCAGAUUAGGUAGUUGGUGGGGUAAAGGCUCACCAAGCCAACGAUCUGUAGCUGGUCUGAGAGGACGACCAGCCACACUGGGACUGAGACACGGACCAGACUCCUACGGGAGGCAGCAGUGGGGAAUUUUGGACAAUGGACGCUAGUCUGAUCCAGCCAUGCCGCGUGCGGGAAGAAGGCCUUCGGGUUGUAAACCGCUUUUGUCAGGGAAGAAACGCUCUGGGUUAAUACCUCGGGGUAAUGACGGUACCUGAAGAAUAAGCACCGGCUAACUACGUGCCAGCCGCCGCCGUAAUAC